CCCGGUAGCUAAAUGCGGAAGAGAUAAGUGCUGAAAGCAUCUAAGCACGAAACUUGCCCCGAGAUGAGUUCUCCCUGACCCUUUAAGGGUCCUGAAGGAACGUUGAAGACGACGACGUUGAUAGGCCGGGUGUGUAAGCGCAGCGAUGCGUUGAGCUAACCGGUACUAAUGAACCGUGAGGCUUAACCUUACAACGCCGAAG
rnacentral:rRNA from 2 species